AAAGGAGACAACAGACACACCAAGAGCGUGGAAGGUGUUACCACAGACUCUAAAAGGGCAUGUGAUACUCGCUCUUGGAUGCAGUUCAUUUCUGAUUAUCGUUGUGAUGAUACCUCUUUCACACUUAAUCCUUUUUGCCUUGGUUCCCUUUGCUGUGGCAAAUUAUGAACCGAACUGGGAUUCUUUAGACUCUCGCCCUCUUCCCCAGUGGUACGAUGACGCUAAAGUGGGGAUCUUUCUUCACUGGGGAGUUUUCUCCGUUCCGUCAUUUGGCUCCGAAUGGUUUUGGGCAUACUGGAAAGGCGGAUCGUCGGCAUACGUGGAUUUCAUGAAGAAGAACUUCAGGCCUGACUUCACCUACGCUGAUUUCGCUUCUCAGUUCACGGCCGAGUUUUACGAUCCCAACGAGUGGGCAGAAAUCUUCAAAGCUGCUGGGGCCCGCUACUUAGUCCCCCUGACGAGCAAAC